GGGGUGGGGUCGGGGGCUGCACAGCUUCCCAAGGAAGUCACAGGACCUCGCCUCUGGAUAUUCAGAAGUGCUAGUCCAGUUCUGGCAGCCUGAACUCUUCCUCCUCCAAGGGGUGCUGUACUCGGCGUGUGGGUUUUGAAGCAGUGGGCGUUUGACUUCAGAGUUGUUUUCCUUGAGGCGCUGAUACCGGACGUGGCAGAGGAGAAUGACGGUAUUCAUGUGUUUCUGGGUGGUUGCCUGAACAAGGGAGUUCAGCCUUUGGGAGAUAAAGCAGGAUAUGAAGCCUGACCAGGUGGGAGGUCCUGAUGCCCUUCCCAGGACUGGGCACUGUGGUGGCCCCGGCACAGGGCAGGGCCCACCUGAAGCAGUGUGACCUGCUGAAGUUGUCCCGGCAGCAGAAGCAGCUCUGCGGGAGGGAGCCCAGCCUGGCUGAGACCCUGUGGGACGCCAUGCACCUCGGCCUGGAGUGCCAGUUCCAGUUCCGGCAUGAGCGCUGGAACUACAGCUUGGAGGGCAGGAGGGGCCUGCUCAAGUGAGCAUGGUUCCAAAUGAGAAGAGUCCUGGGAUUAAUGAGGGCCAGUUGAAGACCAGGUGUGGCCCAGCCUCAGGUUUCGGGGAGCAGAGGAGCAAGGAAGAUCCAAGAGAAGAGGAGACACAAGCCCAGUCCUGGAGGAGCCCACAGAUGAGAGGGGGGUCCCCCAGUUACCUUCCUCUGCCUCUUCACACACACACGCGAAACAAGGCACAUGAAGACAUGAGGACGGGUGGCAGCGGGUUCCAGGCCCCAUGACAUGAGCCAGGCCAUGCAUUUGUUCACUCCUUUAGCGUCCCUUUGUUCAUCACAUCCAUUGAUCUAUCAGUUCCUCCCUCCCUUCCACUCCCAUUCUACCUCCCUCCCUUCUUCCUGCCUCCCUCCCACCUCCACCCACCCACUAAGCAUCCAUGGAGGCCCACAGUGAGCCAGGCACUGUGCUAGAUGCUGGAGGUUCAGAGCUGAACAAGACCCCAGCUGCCCUUGGGAAGCAUGCAGUCUAGAAGGGAGAACACAGGUCACCAUGUGACUCCCUCACCAAGGGGAAAG